UUCUAGCCCCGAUAGCAGUGGAAAUCCUUGCGCUUUUUUUUUAAAAAGUGGAAGAUUGCAACGAAUAGCGGGAUCAGCU
rnacentral:sRNA from 1 species